rnacentral:lncRNA from 1 species
GAGGACUCUGGAGAGGCUAGAAGCCACCCAGUGGAGAAGGACUUUUUCCAUGGCAAGGAGGGCUGCAGGAUUCCACGGCACCCAGCAUGGAGUACGUGCAUAGUUCAAGACCCACAUCUGGAACGCUUAUUUACCAUAGGAAAGAUAAAACAUCUGAGUUUUUCAGAACUUCUUUUUCACUCUCUUUGGCAUAUUUAUGAAGAAUACUAGUAUAUUGAAGAAGAGAAGCAGGGAAGAAUAAAGAAGAAGAGGAAGGAGAGAAGAGGAAGAGGAAGAAGAAAAAGGAGAAGGAACGUUAAAACAAGAUUAUAAGACUUCUUUAAAUAAAUGAAAUGCCUAUAUUUAAUAAAUUACACUUUUAGGAUUGCAUAAAUAUAUUGCAAUAGAUUCAUGUUAUUAAAAAUAUAAGCACUUCCUCAUGCAUCCACCCUCGGUGUCCCAGAUGGGAUAAAUAAGUCAAAGUUGAAUAUUAAACAUGUUCCAUUU